rnacentral:sRNA from 1 species
GCACAUUCUUGUAGGUAGUGCUGGUGGGUGGGGACGUGCUUUGAAGCCAGUACUCUUUCUGCCACCGGAGGAACCUGACACCCACAGAGAGUACACCUGGCCUCAGGUGAAAGGUCUUAUGACUAAAUCCGGUCGUACCAGAACUCAGACUGUUACCUCCUCCCUGGCCCCCAGGCAGCUGUGGGCCUGGAUUCUGAAGGACUGAUACAGGCUUAAUCACCAGCUGGAUGAAUCAGGCUUUGGGCCAUCCCCCUUGGUGCUUUUCCAGUGGAAGACUGGGCACAACAUCCCCAGAAUACCUCACUUCCGCACAAAAAAGAGGAUUGCUAUGUCCCUAGUCCCCUCUCCUUGUCUCCUGAGACCCUCCAGGAAGCAUCCCUGAGGACCCUUGGAUUCUCUCUUCCAUGCUGCAUAGUCCUGGGCUCUUAACAUUAGUAGGAGAGCUGGAGCACUCCUCUUGUGACUCAGAGGGAACUUGUCACUGCGUCAGCAAACCAUGGGCAUACAUCCACACAGACUUCAAGGGAACAAAGAAAUGGAGGUUAUUUGAUUGGUCUUUUGUUGUUGAUGGUGGUGGUAGUAUAAUGAAAUUCUGGAGACUGGGUAAUUUACAAAGCAAAAAGAUUAUCUUGGCUCAGAA